rnacentral:rRNA from 1 species
AAGAAAUUAACGAAGAUUUCCUUAGUAACGGCGAGUGAAAAGGAAAUAGUCCAUCGCUGAAUCCCUUACCCAUGGUAAAGGGAACUGUAGCGUGUAGGAGAGCCUAUCCGUCGAGUUAUUGGCUUCGGAAUCGCCCUCGAAUGGGAGUCCAAAGCGGGUGCGAGACCCGUAACGAAGUCACGCUCGUCGGUUUGAGCCUCCUUAGAGUCGGGUUACUUGAGAGUGUAGCCCAAAGCGGAAGGUAAACCCCUUCUAAGGCUAAAUAUGACCGCGAGACCGAUAGCGAACAAGUACCGCGAGGGAAAGUUGAAAAGAACUUUGAAGAGAGAGUUCAAAAGGGCGUGAAACCGCUUAGAAUAAAACGGACGGAGCCGUCAGUGGCCUUCCGGAAUCAGUCGUAUGACGCGCGACAAUGCGUUGCCUUAGAGCGAAAGUCUGGGUGCGCGUUAGGAAAUAGUAGCGUUCAUUCGAUGCAUUUCCGGAGGGUAUGCGCCACGACCGAUGCGAAAGGCUAGUGAAUCCGGCGGAUUGAGGUGGAAAACCCCUCGUGGGUCUUCAGUACCAGUUCGUCGGCCUAUAGUCGCUAGACCGCAGUAUGCAUCGAGCGCGGAAUAUAUCGAACACUGGCAAAAAUGCUCGUUUAAGCGGCGGAUUGUCGACGGAAUAUUCCGUACCUGCUCGCAGGUUAUGUUUAUUCCCGUUCGGCCUUUGAAGUCGCGGACGAGUUUAUGGUGUUCGGGCGUCAGUGGCGUCCGAGACGGUCAACCGUCCGACCCGUCUUGAAACACGGACCAAGGAGUCUAACGUACGCGCGAGCUAAUGAGUGGAAAACUCAUAAGCGCAAUAAAAGUAAAAGCCGUUUCCGACGGCGUGGGGUACGAUCCCGGGGUAUUCAUUUAUCCCGGGCGCAGUACCAUCCCAUCCUAAUCGCUCGUCGAUAGGGUGGAGAUUGAGUGCAUACGUUGGGACCCGAAAGAUGGUGAACUAUGCCUGAGCAGAGCGAAGCCAGAGGAAACUCUGGUGGAGGUUCGUAGCGGUUCUGACGUGCAAAUCGAUCGUCAGACUUGGGUAUAGGGGCGAAAGACUAAUCGAACCAUC